rnacentral:rRNA from 1 species
GACGAACGCUGGCGGCGUGCUUAACACAUGCAAGUCGAACGGAAAGGCCCUGCUUUUGUGGGGUGCUCGAGUGGCGAACGGGUGAGUAACACGUGAGUAACCUGCCCUUGACUUUGGGAUAACUUCAGGAAACUGGGGCUAAUACCGGAUAGGAGCUCCUGCUGCAUGGUGGGGGUUGGAAAGUUUCGGCGGUUGGGGAUGGACUCGCGGCUUAUCAGCUUGUUGGUGGGGUAGUGGCUUACCAAGGCUUUGACGGGUAGCCGGCCUGAGAGGGUGACCGGCCACAUUGGGACUGAGAUACGGCACAGACUCCUACGGGAGGCAGCAGUGGGGAAUAUUGCACAAUGGGCGGAAGCCUGAUGCAGCAACGCCGCGUGCGGGAUGACGGCCUUCGGGUUGUAAACCGCUUUCGCCUGUGACGAAGCGUGAGUGACGGUAAGGGGUAAAGAAGCACCGGCUAACUACG